rnacentral:rRNA from 1 species
UGCAUGCAGUCGAACGAGGUCGCUCCUUCGGGGGCUAAACCUAGUGGCAGACGGCUGAGUAACGCGUGGGUGACCUGCCCCCGAGAACGGGAUAACUGCGGGAAACUGCAGCUAAUACCGUAUACAUUCCCGUGCUUCAAGGCGCGGGAAGAAAUGAUUUAUCGCUCGGGGAUGGGCCCGCGUCCUAUCAGGUAGUUGGUGCGGUAACGGCGUACCAAGCCUUAAACGGGUAUCUGGUGUGAGAGCAUGACCAGACAGAGGGGGACUGAGACACGGCCCCCACUCCUCCGGGAGGCAGCAGCAAGGGAUCGUGCACAAUGGGCGAAAGCCUGAUGCCGCGACGCCGCGUGAGGGAUGACGGCUUUCGAGUUGUAAACCUCUUUUCUCAGGGAAGAGAGAGGACGUCACCUGAGGAAUAAGUCAUGGCUAACUACGUGCCAGCAGCAGCGGUAAUACGUAGGAGGCAAGCGUUGUCCGGAAUUACUGGGCGUAAAGGGUCCGUAGGCGGUUCGGUCAGUCUUCUGUGAAAGCUCCAGGCUCAACUUGGAGUCGUCGGGAGAAACUGCCGAACUAGAGACUGUCAGAGGCAGGUGGAAUUCCCGGUGUAGUGGUGAAAUACGUAGAUAUCGGGAGGAACACCAGUGGCGAAAGCGGCCUGCUGGGGCAGUUCUGACGCUAAGGGACUAAAGCGUGGGGAGCGAACCGGAUUAGAUACCCGGGUAGUCCACGCCCUAAACGAUGAAUGCUAGGUCUCCGGGGUGUUAAUUCCCUGUGGGCCAAAGGUAACCCAUUAAGCAUUCCGCCUGGGGACUACGGCUGCAAGGCUAAAACUCAAAGGAAUUGACGGGUCCCCGCACAAGCAGCGGGAGCGUG